CUAAUGCCGGCCAAGUCACGGGGGUUAAGGGUGGUGUACAAACAUGGCUGCUCCCUUUCUAGCCAGACAGCCAAAGGGAGAAGAAGAGGAUAGCUCACCAUCCGGGGCUUGCAUACUUGAACAAGCUCUAAGAGGUCCCAUCUGUAGCAGAGAAGCCAGGAACUCUAUCUCCCAGAAUCCUCUGCUAUGUGGAACACCUGCAGAGACUGCAAGCAAGAGGCCCUUGUGAGUGGUCUGGUGUGCAAGUAGAAGGUAUGCUUUUCCAGAAGGUAUAAGCAGGCAGACAUGGAGGCAGAUAAACAUUCUCUGCAGCUUCACGGUGUGCUUCUAAAUAAUCACCUGCAGCCUGAGCUUCUGCGUGGGAGCUUCCUAGGAGUCUUGAGAUUAGUGUGGCCACAGGAGAAGCACUUGGGAUCCACCCACUUGGUUGCUACAGACUGAAGAUGCAGUUGAAGGGCUACCUCUGUUCCCUCCAAUGGGUUACAUAAACCUUGACUUUCCUGUAUCCAAUACUUAGGUACUUGAUGUACCAAUAACCAAAUUCGUGCCUCUUAGCUGCAAAUUCACUUUUCAACACCUGUACUGUAAUAAUGG
rnacentral:lncRNA from 1 species